rnacentral:rRNA from 1 species
UACGUAGGCAGCAAGCGUUGUUCGGAGUUACUGGGCGUAAAGGGUGCGUAGGCGGUCCUAUAAGUAUGGUGUGAAAUCUCCCGGCUUAACUGGGAGGGUGCGCUAUAGACUGUAGGACUAGAGUGUGGGAGAGGAAAGUGGAAUUCCUGGUGUAGCGGUGAAAUGCGUAGAUAUCAGGAGGAACACCGGUGGUGUAAACGGCUUUCUGGACCAUAACUGACGCUGAGGCACGAAAGCGUGGGUAGCAAACAGG